rnacentral:rRNA from 1 species
GAUGAACGCUGGCGGCGUGCUUAACACAUGCAAGUUGAACGAAGCAUUUUUAUGAAGUUUUCGGAUGGAGUAAAGAAUGACUUAGUGGCGGACGGGUGAGUAACGCGUGGGUAACCUGCCUCAUACAGGGGGAUAACAGUUGGAAACGACUGCUAAGACCGCAUAAGCCUACAGUCUCGCAUGAGACAGUAGGAAAAG